CCGCACCAUCGCGGGAGGUCGGGGCGCCCCACGCGGGGCGGAGCGCGCGCGCCUCCUGCCGAGACGGGACCGGCCCUCCCUGGUGACCUUGACCGGUGUCACUCGGCGGCCGCGGCGACAGGCGACAGGAGCACCUAAUCCUAAGAAUCAAGGAUAAGAAAUCUUCAAGAGGAGAGAAGGAGUUAAAAUAUGGAAAGCAGAAAGAAGUCACAUUGGAAAGAAGGAAGGCAUGCGUGGGACCUGCUGGCAAGGCCUCAAAAGAAGUAAUUGAGUUUCUUGAAGGCUACAGAGUGGUCAAUGGACAGCCGGGUGUGUGGCCCCAGCCCUCGUCCCAGUCAGCCCUGUGUAGGCCAUCACUGCCGUCUUCAGAGACCUGCUUACCCUUUCUAUCAGCAUCAAUUUGUGUUUAUUGGCGUCCGGGACAGGAGCCAUGUGGUAUCCAUAAAAGGGAGAUAAACUAUCCCUGCUUCCUCCAAGAAAUCGAACUCAGGACCUUACACUUGCCCGGCAGGCACUGUGCCACUGAGCUGUGUUCCCAGCCCUGAAACAGUUCCUUGUCUGCCCUGGGAGAAGGUAGCUCAUAAACCAAAUAACAAACACAGCCAUGUGUGCAGAGCAAAGUUUCCAUCGUUGAC
rnacentral:lncRNA from 1 species